rnacentral:rRNA from 1 species
UACGUAGGGUGCGAGCGUUAAUCGGAAUUACUGGGCGUAAAGCGUGCGCAGGCGGUUCGUUGUGUCGGCGGUGAAAGCCCCGGGCUCAACCUGGGAGGUGCGCUUGAUACUCGAGGGCUUGAGUGCGGGAGAGGAGAGUGGAAUUCCCAGUGUAGAGGUGAAAUUCGUAGAUAUUGGGAAGAACACCGGUGGCGAAGGCGGCUCUCUGGACCGUAACUGACGCUGAGGCGCGAAAGCGUGGGGAGCAAACAGG